rnacentral:tRNA from 1 species
AGCUCGGUGGUCGAGUGGUUAAGACAUCUGCACUAGUAAUCAGGAGGUUGUGGGUUCGAAUCCCACCCGAGUAA